rnacentral:rRNA from 1 species
GAUGAACGCUGGCGGCGUGCCUAAUACAUGCAAGUCGAGCGAACGGACGAGAAGCUUGCUUCUCUGAUGUUAGCGGCGGACGGGUGAGUAACACGUGGAUAACCUACCUAUAAGACUGGGAUAACUUCGGGAAACCGGAGCUAAUACCGGAUAAUAUUUUGAACCGCAUGGUUCAAAAGUGAAAGACGGUCUUGCUGUCACUUAUAGAUGGAUCCGCGCUGCAUUAGCUAGUUGGUAAGGUAACGGCUUACCAAGGCAACGAUGCAUAGCCGACCUGAGAGGGGGAUCGGCCACACUGGAACUGGGACACGGUCCAGACUCCUACGGGAGGCAGCAGUAGGGAAUCUUCCGCAAUGGGCGAAAGCCUGACGGAGCAGCGCCGCGUGAGUGAUGAAGGUCUUCGGAUCGUAAAACUCUGUUAUUAGGGAAGAACAUAUGUGUAAGUAACUGUGCACAUCUUGACGGUACCUAAUCAGAAAGCCACGGCUAACUACGUG